AUCAUCACUAGUUGUCUUAGAUGCACAGGUUUUUUUCGAUAAUUAUAUCUACAUAUCGAUGAGUCUUACUGCUUAAUCUUAAUAUUUUGAACUUCUCGUGCAGAAUCAACAGUCACAAAUGCAUGAUUUACAGCGCCAGGCUCAGCAGAAGUUUCGGCCGAUUCCGAAAAUGUCCUCCACAAUAUCAUCACAGCCGCUUGUGCCACGAAUGCAAAUUGGAUUUGCUGAUAGCAUGCUUCCUCAGAGGAAUCUGCUUCUCCGGUUCUGAAUGAUCAGAGUAUGAACCUGCUCUUCUAUUUUUUUCGCCUUUCAGUCAUACUUGGUGGAUGAAUUUGCAGUUAUUUCCUGCCCCUUCUUUUCUUUCGCCUGACAUCUCCUCCUGAUAUGUCCUGUUUUUCUCCCUUGCCAGAAUGGGAGGUUGUCUUCUGCUUUUCUUAUCGGAUCCAUGCAGGGCGGUGACCGACGGUGUUCAUUUUGACGCAACAAAAAAGCAAGUGCGCUCGUCGUAUGUUUACUAGAAUCUUAACAUACGAGGCUGAAGUUCAGUUGUGGCCUUUGCUUGCAGUCUAUAAUACGGGAGUAUCCAAUCCCGGUGGUGUAAUGCCCAUACAGCAGCAGCAGCAGCUUGGUUCUCAAGAGGCGUUUGGUAACAUGCAACCAAAUGCUCAGAACUUACAGUCAAGCAUGGCAGUCACACUUUAUUUUUCCUGACAAAAUAUCCUGUAACAAGGUAUACACUGUUGAAAGUUUGUGACAAGGUUGGGAGUUUGGUAAUGCGCAACCAAAUGCUCGGAAUUUACAAGAUAUGUGCCAAUGAUGAUUUGCUAUGUUGGAAGUUUGCAUACCCACUGGUAAUCAGUGUGUGCCUUUAUGGUUUGUUGGGUGGUAUGGCACGUAUCUUAAGAGUUUAUGUACCAGUUGAGUUUGGCUGUCAGAAGCUGUAUUGGCUGUCUAUCUGUGCAAUAUCCUUCACUAAUUUACACCGA